rnacentral:rRNA from 1 species
AUUGAACGCUGGCGGCAUGCCUUACACAUGCAAGUCGAACGGUAACAGGUCUUCGGUUGCUGUCGAGUGGCGAACGGGUGCGUAAUACAUCGGAACGUGCCCAGACGUGGGGGAUAACGAGGCGAAAGCUUUGCUAAUACCGCAUACGAUCUAAGGAUGACAGCAGGGGACCGCAAGGCCUUGCGCGUUUGGAGCGGCCGAUGGCAGAUUAGGUCGUUGGUGGGAUAAAAGCUUACCAAGCCGACGAUCUGUAGCUGGUCUGAGAGGACGACCAGCCACACUGGGACUGAGACACGGCCCAGACUCCUACGGGAGGCAGCAGUGGGGAAUUUUGGACAAUGGGCGAAAGCCUGAUCCAGCAAUGCCGCGUGCAGGAUGAAGGCCUUCGGGUUGUAAACUGCUUUUGUACGGAACGAAAAGGCUCUGGCUAAUACCUGGGGCACAUGACGGUACCGUAAGAAUAAGCACCGGCUAACUACGUG